rnacentral:rRNA from 1 species
GGUUGAUCCUGCCAGUACAAUAUGCUUGUCUCAAAGAUUAAGCCAUGCACGUACAAGUAUAAGCAACUUUAUACAGCGAAACUGCGUACAGCUCAUUACAUCAGUUAGGAUUGCCUUGAAGUUGGAAGCUACAUGGAUACCUGUAGUAAUUCUAGAGCUAAUACAUGAUUUCCACCUCUGCGCCCUCUGACGGGGGCGCGGAUUCGAAAUUGGAUCCUGGCCGGGUGUUUGUCCCUCGCUGAGUCACGAUUUCCACUGGACCCUUUCCCCUUGCGGGCGAGGGCGUUUCAUU